rnacentral:misc_RNA from 1 species
GAUGAAGAACGUAGCGAAAUGCGAUACUUGGUGUGAAUUGCAGAAUCCCGUGAACCAUCGAGUCUUUGAACGCAAGUUGCGCCCGAAGCCUCGGCUAAGGGCACGUCUGCCUGGGCGUCACGCAUCGCGUCUCCCCCAAACCGCCAAGGCGGAGGGGAAGGAAGAUGGCUUCCCGUGCCUCACCCGGGCGCGGUUGGCCUAAAUUUGGAGCCCGCGGCACUUAGCUCUCGCGGCGAUAGGUGGUGAACAAGGCCUUGGCCGUGCAAACAACCCGCUGCGAAGCUCUAUGUCACGUGCGCUCGUCGGACCCUUUGAAGUUGCCUUUGGUGACUUAAAACCUUUGCGACCCCAGGUCAGGCGGGGCUACCCGCUGAAUUUAAGCAUAUCAAUAGCGGAGGA